UACAGAGGUCUCGAGCGUUGUUCGGAUUCAUUGGGCGUAAAGGGUGCGUAGGUGGCGUGGUAAGUCUGGUGUGAAAUCCCGGGGCUCAACCCCGGAACUGCACUGGAUACUGCCAUGCUUGAGUACUGGAGAGGAGAUUGGAAUUUACGGUGUAGCAGUGAAAUGCGUAGAUAUCGUAAGGAAGACCAGUGGCGAAGGCGAAUCUCUGGACAGUUACUGACACUGAGGCACGAAGGCCAGGGAAGCAAACGGG
rnacentral:rRNA from 1 species